UACGGGGGGGGCAAGCGUUGUUCGGAAUUACUGGGCGUAAAGGGCUCGUAGGUGGCCAACUAAGUCAGACGUGAAAUCCCUCGGCUUAACCGGGGAACUGCGUCUGAUACUGGAUGGCUUGAGAUUGGGAGAGGGAUGCGGAAUUCCAGGUGUAGCGGUGAAAUGCGUAGAUAUCUGGAGGAACACCGGUGGCGAAGGCGGCAUCCUGGACCAACACUGACACUGAGGAGCGAAGGCCAGGGGAGCAAACGGG
rnacentral:rRNA from 1 species